UCGAUUCCCUUAGUAGCGGCGAGCGAAACGGGAAGAGCCCAAACCAACAAGCUUGCUUGUUGGGGUUGUAGGACACUCUAUACGGAGUUACAAAGGACGACAUUAGACGAAUCAUCUGGAAAGAUGAAUCAAAGAAGGUAAUAAUCCUGUAGUCGAAAAUGUUGUCUCUCUUGAGUGGAUCCUGAGUACGACGGAGCACGUGAAAUUCCGUCGGAAUCUGGGAGGACCAUCUCCUAAGGCUAAAUACUCUCUAGUGACCGAUAGUGAACCAGUACCGUGAGGGAAAGGUGAAAAGCACCCCGGAAGGGGAGUGAAAUAGAACCUGAAACCGUGUGCUUACAAGUAGUCAGAGCCCGUUAAUGGGUGAUGGCGUGCCUUUUGUAGAAUGAACCGGCGAGUUACGAUUUGAUGCAAGGUUAAGCAGUAAAUGUGGAGCCGUAGCGAAAGCGAGUCUGAAUAGGGCGUUUAGUAUUUGGUCGUAGACCCGAAACCAGGUGAUCUACCCUUGGUCAGGUUGAAGUUCAGGUAACACUGAAUGGAGGACCGAACCGACUUACGUUGAAAAGUGAGCGGAUGAACUGAGGGUAGCGGAGAAAUUCCAAUCGAACCUGGAGAUAGCUGGUUCUCUCCGAAAUAGCUUUAGGGCUAGCCUCAAGUGAUGAUUAUUGGAGGUA
rnacentral:rRNA from 1 species